AACUGCAUUUCGAACUGGCAAACUAGAGUUCUUGAGAGGGUGGUAGAAUUUCAGGUGUAGCGGUGAAAUGCGUAGAGAUCUGAAGGAAUACCAGUGGCGAAGGCGGCCACCUGGCAAGUAACUGACGCUCAGAUGCGAAAGCGUGGGUAGCAAACGGGAUUAGAUACCCCGGUAGUCCACGCCGUAAACGAUGUCUACUCGGAGUUUGGUUCCUUGAGAACUGGGCUCUUAAGCUAACGCAUUAAGUAGACCGCCUGGGGAGUACGGCCGCAAGGUUAGAACUCAAAUGAAUUGACGGGGGCCCGCACAAGCGGUGGAGCAUGUGGUUUAAUUCGAUGCAACGCGAAGAGCCUUACCUACUCUUGACAUCCAUAGAACUUUUCAGAGAUGAAUUGGUGCCUUCGGGAACUAUGAGACAGGUGCUGCAUGGCUGUCGUCAGCUCGUGUUGUGAAAUGUUGGGUUAAGUCCCGCAACGAGCGCAACCCUUAUCCUUAUUUGCCAGCACGUAAUGGUGGGAACUCUAAGGAGACUGCCGGUGAUAAACCGGAGGAAGGUGGGGACGACGUCAAGUCAUCAUGGCCCUUACGAGUAGGGCUACACACGUGCUACAAUGGCGCAUACAAAGGGCUGCAAACCAGCGACGGUAAGCGAAUCCCAUAAAGUGCGUCGUAGUCCGGAUUGGGGUCUGCAACUCGACCCCAUGAAGUCGGAAUCGCUAGUAAUCGUGAAUCAGAAUGUCACGGUGAAUACGUUCCCGAGCCUUGUACACACCGCCCGUCACACCAUGGGAGUGGGCUGCACCAGAAGUCAUUAGCUUAACCUU
rnacentral:rRNA from 1 species